UACAGAGGGGGCAAGCGUUAUUCGAAAUUAUUGGGCGUAAAGGGCGCGUAGGCGGCUUGGCAAGUGGAUGGUGAAAUCCCUCGGCUUAACCGAGGAACUGCCGUCCAAACUGCUUCGCUUGAGACCGGGAGAGGUGAGUGGAAUUCCCAGUGUAGCGGUGAAAUGCGCAGAUAUCGGGAAGAACACCCGUGGCGAAGGCGGGUCUCUGGGCCGAUACUGACGCUGAGGAGCGAAAGCGUGGGGAGCGAACAGG
rnacentral:rRNA from 1 species